GCUUGCGGCGCUACACAUGCAGUCGAGCGGCAGCACAGAGGAACUUGUUCCUUGGGUGGCGAGCGGCGGACGGGUGAGUAAUGCCUAGGAAAUUGCCCUGAUGUGGGGGAUAACCAUUGGAAACGAUGGCUAAUACCGCAUGAUGCCUACGGGCCAAAGAGGGGGACCUUCGGGCCUCUCGCGUCAGGAUAUGCCUAGGUGGGAUUAGCUAGUUGGUGAGGUAAUGGCUCACCAAGGCGACGAUCCCUAGCUGGUCUGAGAGGAUGAUCAGCCACACUGGAACUGAGACACGGUCCAGACUCCUACGGGAAGGCAGCAGUGGGGAAUAUUGCACAAUGGGCGCAAGCCUGAUGCAGCCAUGCCGCGUGUAUGAAGAAGGCCUUCGGGUUGUAAAGUACUUUCAGUCGUGAGGAAGGUGGUGUUGUUAAUAGCAGCAUCAUUUGACGUUAGCGACAGAAGAAGCACCGGCUAACUCCGUGCCAGCAGCCGCGGUAAUACGGAGGGUGCGAGCGUUAAUCGGAAUUACUGGGCGUAAAGCGCAUGCAGGUGGUGGAUUAAGUCAGAUGUGAAAGCCCGGGGCUCAACCUCGGAACCGCAUUUGAAACUGGUUCACUAGAGUACUGUAGAGGGGGGUAGAAUUUCAGGUGUAGCGGUGAAAUGCGUAGAGAUCUGAAGGAAUACCGGUGGCGAAGGCGGCCCCCUGGACAGAUACUGACACUCAGAUGCGAAAGCGUGGGGAGCAAACAGGAUUAGAUACCCUGGUAGUCCACGCCGUAAACGAUGUCUACUUGGAGGUUGUGGCCUUGAGCCGUGGCUUUCGGAGCUAACGCGUUAAGUAGACCGCCUGGGGAGUACGGUCGCAAGAUUAAAACUCAAAUGAAUUGACGGGGGCCCGCACAAGCGGUGGAGCAUGUGGUUUAAUUCGAUGCAACGCGAAGAACCUUACCUACUCUUGACAUCCAGAGAAACCAGCGGAGACGCAGGUGUGCCUUCGGGAACUCUGAGACAGGUGCUGCAUGGCUGUCGUCAGCUCGUGUUGUGAAAUGUUGGGUUAAGUCCCGCAACGAGCGCAACCCUUAUCCUUGUUUGCCAGCGAGUCAUGUCGGGAACUCCAGGGAGACUGCCGGUGAUAAACCGGAGGAAGGUGGGGACGACGUCAAGUCAUCAUGGCCCUUACGAGUAGGGCUACACACGUGCUACAAUGGCGCAUACAGAGGGCAGCAAGCUAGCGAUAGUGAGCGAAUCCCAAAAAGUGCGUCGUAGUCCGGAUUGGAUUCUGCAACUCGACUCCAUUUGGUUUGAUUUGCUAAUUCAAUGGAUGCUUUACCUCGGCGAAAUUCGCGCUAUUGCUUAUCACAAACUGAUUAGAUUCUGAUAUGGGAAACUUUAGUAGAAUAAGUGUUUGGUUCUCGUAUACGGCAAUAUGCUCAACUACGUUGGAACGUCC
rnacentral:rRNA from 1 species